UACGGAGGGUGCAAGCGUUGCUCGGAAUUAUUGGGCGUAAAGGGUAGGUAGGCGGUCUUAUUUGUCUGGGGUGAAAGCCUUGAGCUUAACUCAAGAAGUGCCCCAGAAACGGUGAGACUGGAGUCCUGGAGAGGGUCGUGGAAUUCCCGGUGUAGCGGUGAAAUGCGUAGAGAUCGGGAGGAACACCAGAGGCGAAAGCGGCGACCUGGACAGGUACUGACACUCAACUACGAAAGCGUGGGGAGCAAACAGG
rnacentral:rRNA from 1 species